rnacentral:rRNA from 1 species
GACGAACGCUGGCGGCGUGCCUAAUACAUGCAAGUUGAGCGCUGAAGGCUGGUACUUGUACCAACUGGAUGAGCAGCGAACGGGUGAGUAACGCGUGGGGAAUCUGCCUUUGAGCGGGGGACAACAUUUGGAAACGAAUGCUAAUACCGCAUAAAAACUUUAAACACAAGUUUUAAGUUUGAAAGAUGCAAUUGCAUCACUCAAAGAUGAUCCCGCGUUGUAUUAGCUAGUUGGUGAGGUAAAGGCUCACCAAGGCGAUGAUACAUAGCCGACCUGAGAGGGUGAUCGGCCGCAUUGGGACUGAGACACGGCCCAAACUCCUACGGGAGGCAGCAGUAGGGAAUCUUCAGCAAUGGACGAAAGUCUGACCGAGCAACGCCGCGUGAGUGAAGAAGGUUUUCGGAUCGUAAAACUCUGUUGGUAGAGAAGAACGUUGGUGAGAGUGGAAAGCUCAUCAAGUGACGGUAACUACCCAGAAAGGGACGGCUAACUACGUG